UACGUAGGGGGCGAGCGUUGUCCGGAGUACUGGGCGUAAAGCGCACGCAGGCGGUCUGUUAAGUUUGGAGUGACAGUUGGUGGCUCAACCACCAAAGUGCUUUGAAAACUGAUAGACUUGAGGGCUUCAGAGGGACACGGAAUUCCGGGUGGAGUGGUGAAAUGCGUAGAGAUCCGGAGGAACACCAAAGGCGAAGGGCAGUGUCCUGGG
rnacentral:rRNA from 1 species